rnacentral:lncRNA from 1 species
CAGAGAACAUUUAGGAGGGAACUGUAAGGAACAAAAACAUUUGCUGGGUGGGCAGAAGAGAGAGCCUGGGAGGAAAUAUCAGGGGCUGUGAACAAGAACCAGGGAGAAGAAACGUUCAGGGAGGAAACAGCAGUCACAAGUGACAGAGAUUGGUGGUAAAUUACAUCACCUAUGUCAGAAAGGGUCCCUUAGACCUGCCAAUUAGGAGGCUUGGGUAUCGUAGCCUUAGCUAGAAUAGUUUCAGUGGAUUGGUGGGCUAUGGACUGAAGACAGAAGGUUAAGAAGCAAAUGUAGCAAUUGUAGAACAUGGUUUCAAGAAGUGCAGCCAUGAAAACAACAGACAGAUUUCAUUUAGAAAGGCAAGGUCAAAGGAGUUUUUUUACUUUUUUUUUUUUUUUUUUUUUAGAAGAAAGGCAGCUUGGAAUCUGUAUAAAUGAAAGAGAGAGAUAGAAUGGGUAAAAAUGAUUGAUGGAAGAAUUUUGACCUACUGGGUUUGAGCGCGAAAGCUCACCAGUUGACGGGAUGCUUGGGGAUUUGCAACCGCCUCAUCGCUGCCCCCUACCGGCGCAUAUUCAAAACGUCUCUGCGAAAAGCUGUUAUUACCUUCGGAGCCAACAGGGGCUGCUCGUUUACCCACAGACAGUCGGAAAAAAAUGGCCGCCGGAUCACAGAGAGCAAAAAGCAGGGCUAAUCUUCCGAAGAGGAAUCCCACUACUGCCUCCUUAUAAGGGAAAAACUCCUCUCAGAGGAACCCAGAACGCCCUGUGAUGACAGAGGUGAGGGGCCAGCGUGGCAGAAUGCACCACCCUGUCUCCUCGCUUGCUUCUCUCUCCGUCGGAUUGCCAAAAAGGGAACGGCACCUAGACGCCGAAAAGUAACUGAAGCAAAGGGAGUUUAAAGAACGCGCCCAGCCGCCUGGGUCUUGAACCCAGUGUUAAUGAGAGCAAAAACCUCUGCAUCCUCCACUGAGCUGUCCUUGAGCAUGUCUCAUAAUCAUGCUUCAUUUUAAAAACAGAAAUAAUUCAUUGCAUUUUGAACAAGGAUAACUGUCAGAAAAGAUCCUCUUUGAAUAAAACAGGUAUCUCCCCCAUGGCUGCUUCUGGGUCUGCCCUCUGCAACCACAUGGAAUAGGUCUGAUUCCGGUUCUUCAGGACAACUUUUCAAGAAUUAAAAAAUCACCUCCAAAUGAAUGCAUUUUUACAAAAUGAAAAUAGGUAGAGAUGCUAUUUUAAAAAAAAAAAAACUUUACCUUCUCACCAACCUUAAAAUAAGAAGCAAAAUAAUUUUGGUAUAUCUUUUUUUUUUUUUUUUUGAGACAGAGUCUUGCUCUGUCUCCCAGGCUGGAGUUCCGGGGAGCGAUCUCUGCUCACUGCAACCUCUGCCUCCCGGGUUCAAGCGCUUCACCUGCCUCAAGCCUCCCGAGUAGCUGGGAUUACAGGCACACACCAGCAUGCCCGGCUAAUUUUUGUAUCUCUUGUUUUUCACUAAAUGGAUCCCUGAAUUGGACCCAGAAUGACUUAGCUAUGGAUGUAAGAACUGCUUUUGAGUAGCUGCCUCCAUUAGCCCUGGGGUUCCUACUUCCUGAGUACCAUGACCUCUGGGAUAACUCAGCUUUGUGGAACUGAGGUGCAAUAGGCAGCAUAAUGACCCCCUCCCCAAAGAUAUCUAUGUGCUAACUAACCAAGGAAUGUGGACAGCCCCCUGAAGCUGGAAAAGGCAAGGAAAGGGAUUCUCUUCAAGAGUUUCCAGAAGGAAUGCAGCCCUCUUCACCAAUUUGGUACUUCUGAUCUCCAGAACUCUUAAAUAAUAAAUUUGGCCGCAUGUAGUGGCUCACACCUGUAAUUCCCAGCACUUUGAGAGGCCAAGGAAGGUGGAUUGCUUGAGCUCAGGAUUUGGAGACCAGCCUGCACAAAAUGGUGAAACCCUGUCUCUACAAAAAAUAUGAAAAUUAACCAUGUGUGGUAGUAUGUGCCUGUAGUCUCAGCUACCAGGGAGGCUGAGGUGGGAGGAUCACCUGAGCCCAGGAGGUUGAGGCUGCAGUGAGUUGUUAGUGUCCCACUGCAUUCCAGCCAAGGGGACAGAGUGAGACCCCAUCUCAAUAAUAAUAAUAAUAAAUUUAUGUUGUUUAAGCCUCUAAAUUUGUGGUAAUUUGAUACAGCAAAUUACCACAGAAUAGGAAAGUAAUACAUGGGGGGAAUCAAGCUCAGUCUGUAA